UUUUAACUGGCGUAGUGGUUUGAGUGUCAGACUAUGACUCUGGAGACCAGGGUUCGAUUACCAGCUUGGUCA